GGGCGUAAGGGCUCGCAGGCGGUUUCUUAAGUCUGAUGUGAAAGCCCCCGGCUCAACCGGGGAGGGUCAUUGGAAACUGGGAAACUUGAGUGCAGAAGAGGAGAGUGGAAUUCCACGUGUAGCGGUGAAAUGCGUAGAGAUGUGGAGGAACACCAGUGGCGAAGGCGACUCUCUGGUCUGUAACUGACGCUGAGGAGCGAAAGCGUGGGGAGCGAACAGGAUUAGAUACCCUGGUAGUCCACGCCGUAAACGAUGAGUGCUAAGUGUUAGGGGGUUUCCGCCCCUUAGUGCUGCAGCUAACGCAUUAAGCACUCCGCCUGGGGAGUACGGUCGCAAGACUGAAACUCAAAGGAAUUGACGGGGGCCCGCACAAGCGGUGGAGCAUGUGGUUUAAUUCGAAGCAACGCGAAGAACCUUACCAGGUCUUGACAUCCUCUGACAACCCUAGAGAUAGGGCUUUCCCUUCGGGGACAGAGUGACAGGUGGUGCAUGGUUGUCGUCAGCUCGUGUCGUGAGAUGUUGGGUUAAGUCCCGCAACGAGCGCAACCCUUGAUCUUAGUUGCCAGCAUUCAGUUGGGCACUCUAAGGUGACUGCCGGUGACAAACCGGAGGAAGGUGGGGAUGACGUCAAAUCAUCAUGCCCCUUAUGACCUGGGCUACACACGUGCUACAAUGGACAGAACAAAGGGCUGCGAGACCGCAAGGUUUAGCCAAUCCCACAAAUCUGUUCUCAGUU
rnacentral:rRNA from 1 species